GCUUACGGCCGUACCAGCCUGAAUACGCCUGAUCUCGUCAGAUCUCAGAAGCUAAGCAGGGUCGGGCCUGGUUAGUACUCGGAUGGGAGACUUCCUGGGAAUACCAGGUGCUGUAAGCA
ensembl:rRNA 5S_rRNA 5S ribosomal RNA